CUCACCCUGGAGCUGCCCCAGCUUCCCAGCCCGGGCCUGAUUGCUGUUGUGGGGCCCCAGGUGGGAACCUGAGAAGGGCCAGCUCAGAAAUCAGGCCCAGCUGUGGAUCUGGGCUCCCUCCCCGGCCGUGGGGCUGGGGGCAGGUCACCGAUCUCCCCCUGCCAGGAACCUCACUUCCCAGGCCUAUAAAAUGAGCCAGGAACACCGCUCAUGUGUGCGGGAGGGUGAGGCAGACGCUGAGUGAUGUCAAGGGCCCAGGAGAAGUAGUGGGAUUUUAACGAGCGAGGGCUGUGUCAGUGGGGCGGCUGUUCUGCUUCCGGGGGCGGGGCGGCUGGAGAAACUGAGGGUGUUCGUGGAUUCUGUGUGUGACCUGCAUGAGCAGCUGCUAGACCUUUGUCUGUUUACUUAUUUGUUUACUUAUUUACUUGGGCCAGCUGGCAGUGAACACCUUGGUGUUCCUUUCAGAACCAGCGGCAGAGGCUGGAGGUGGAGCUGGUGGGCCUGAAGACCGACAGGGUCGUCCUGGAGGAGUCUGAGAACCUGAACAUGGUGCUGAUGCUGUCCCACUUCGGCCUGCAAGUAACGGACACGGCGUAAAGUGGUGCCCCACCCCUGCCCCGAUGGGGACCCCAGGAUAUCAAGCAUGAGUGCUGAGGUCGACGUCCACGGAGGCAUCUCUCUGAGCGGAGGGAGGAUGGAGAAUCCCAGGGCCUUGCAGACCGGCAGUCAGCACAGCUCUGCUGAGCGAGGAGAAAUAAAUCGUGCGUGUGUGUUUGUGUUUGCACAACAGACUCAAUCUGUCUUUUGUGUCUGGGGCUCAGCAGAGCAUCUGCCCUGUGAGGACUCCUCCCAUGGGCUAAGAGUUGAGCAGCUUUGUCUUGGGAAGAUUCAAGUAGAGUGCAUCUGUCUCUCUGCAUCUAACAUCCACAGAGAGUUCAAGUGCACACCCACCCUCACAGGGAACACAGGCCGAGCAGCCCCCUGUGUGUGCACCCGCCUUCCUCUCGUGGUCAGUCUCUGUGACUCAGGCAUGCUUUGGUGUCCUCUACUGAAUUAUGAGGACAGCAGUCGCCACCCAUCAGCCUCAAAGGGUGGGGUGAAGAUCGAGUGACACAGCAGCUUGCCUGAGUCCCUCAGAAGCUGACCCUGAGACAGGAAUUGCAUGCAAGUGAGUUACUGCGGAGGUGAUCCCAGGUAGGAGGUUGGCGCAGUGAGGCAGGGAAGCAAAGACAGCCAUGAAACC
rnacentral:lncRNA from 1 species